UUCCGGUUGAUCCUGCCGGACCUGACUGCUAUCGGAUUGGUACUAAGCCAUGUGAGUCGUUGUAGCAAUACAAGGCAUACGGCUCAGUAACACGUAGUCAAUCUAACCUAUGGACGGGGAUAACCUCGGGAAACUGAGGAUAAAACCCGAUAGAUCAUAAUGCCUGGAACGGUUUAUGGUCCAAAUGAUUCGUCGCCGUAGGGUGGGACUGCGGCCUAUCAGCUUGUUGGUGAGGUAAUGGCCCACCAAGGCUAUUACAGGUACGGGCUCUGAGAGGAGAAGCCCGGAGAUGGGUACUGAGACACGGACCCAGGCCCUAUGGGGCGCAGCAGGCGAGAAACCUUUGCAAUGUGCGCAAGCACGACAAGGUUAAUCCGAGUGUUUCCUGCUAAAGGAAUCUUUUGUUAGUUCUAAAACCACUAUUGAAUAAGGGGUGGGCAAGUUCUGGUGUCAGCCGCCGCGGUAAAACCAGCACCUCAAGUGGUCAGGAUGAUUAUUGGGCCUAAAGCAUCCGUAGCCUGUUUUGUAAGUUUCCGGUUAAAUCCAUUAGCUCAACUAAUGGGCUGCCGAAAAUACUGCAAAACUAGGGAGUGGGAGAGGUAGACGGUACUCGGUAGGAAGGGGUAAAAUCCUUUGAUCUAUUGAUGACCACCUGUGGCGAAGGCGGUCUACCAGAACACGUUCGACGGUGAGGGAUGAAAGCUGGGGGAGCAAACCGGAUUAGAUACCCGGGUAGUCCCAGCUGUAAACGAUGCAGACUCGGUGAUGCCCUGGCUUGUGGCCAGUGCAGUGCCGCAGGAAGCCGUUAAGUUUGCCGCCUGGGAAGUACGUACGCAAGUAUGAAACUUAAAGGAAUUGGCGGGGGAGCACCACAAGGGGUGAAGCCUGCGGUUCAAUUGGACUCAACGCCGG
rnacentral:rRNA from 1 species